CACCAAUCAAGCCCGGCUUGGUAUUGGGCGACGGGCUUUUCUCGCGCCUUAAAGUGUCAUCGGCUGGACGUCUCCGAUCUCAGCGUAGUGGUCUAAUCAAUUCGCUGUCGAGACGGGUGUCUCUGCCGUUAAACUUUUACUACA
rnacentral:misc_RNA from 1 species